rnacentral:lncRNA from 10 species
CUGAUAUCCCAGCUACUCAGGAGGAGUAGUAGUGUUAUUUCCAAAACUUUUUAUGAUCUCCCCCAUGAUCUUUCAAGAUAUGUUACUGAAAUGAGAUCAAAAGCGUGAAAGAGAUCCUCAGUGCAUGUGUGAUUUCCCUUUAGAUGUUAUCUUCUGAGGAUGUAUCCAGUUUUCUCAACAAGGCAGACUUGCUAUGUCCCUCUGAAAAUUUCUUUCCCUUUACUGUAUAACUUGCUUUUUGUUAAUUCCACGUUUAGUUAUAGUUAUU